rnacentral:ncRNA from 2 species
UAUUUCCACAGGGGGGGCUGCUUUAUGCGGCUGAGAGUGAACGUUCGAGUUCUGACCCUAUGAACCUGUUAGUUAACACUAGCGUAGGGAUGUGGUUUGCCGGACAA